CUCCCCUGUGUGCACCCAUGUGCCCCUUCUCCACACAGCAAGUUACCCUCCAUGGCCUUGUCGUGUGGCCAUUCUUUUGGGCAAACUAGCCUGGGUUUCUUUUAUGGUGGCUGUUAUGGAAUGAAUAUUUUACUCCCCUAAAUUCAUGUGGUAAAGCCUAAAUUCCCAGUGGGUUGGUAAGGUAGACCUCCCUUCUUCCUGGGAAAUGUGUCUCAAGGCCCUAGUGAAUACUUGAAACCGCAGAUACUAAAAAAUCAUAUAUUUAAUGUGAUUUUUUUUCUAUGCACAUGUACCUAUGAUAAAGUUUAAUUUGUAAAUUAGGCAUAGUAAGAGUGUAACAACAAUAAUUAUUUAUAAAAUAAAAGUUAUUAUGUUGUAUUGUCAUAA
rnacentral:lncRNA from 1 species